ensembl:snRNA U6 U6 spliceosomal RNA
GUGUUCACUUCGGCAGCACAUAUACUAAAAUUAGAAUAAUAUAAAGAAGAUUAGCAUGGCCCCUGCUCAAAGGAUGACACGCAAAUUCAUGAAGUGUUCCAUAUUAAA